rnacentral:lncRNA from 1 species
GGCAGGGCUAGGCAACUGGUGGCCUUCCUUUAGGAUGACUAGAGAGCUAACUUGCUAUGCUGCAGAGUCCCUGAAUGCCAGAAUGCUAACGUCUUUUCUUUGAGGUUGUUCAAUAGCCUUAGCGAAGAACCCUCUGGUUUUUGCCUAAUGGGUAGACACCUGGCUGCUGUGAAUUGUGCACAAGGGAGGGGGAGGGGGAUUCAUGGUUUGAUAUGCAGCCUUCCCAUUAAACUCCCAAUUUUCAGCCCCACAUUUGACUCCCAUCCUUUAUCAUACCUGGCAUUGUCAAGACCAAGACACUCCAGGCUUCUGCAGAGAAAGAGCAACUUCUUCCUCUGAAGCAUCACCUCCAUGCAUACUCCAGGCUGUGGCUUCCUCCACCAUGCUCCAUCAGUCACCAUUCCUCCAUUGACUUCUAUCUUCCAGAAAUUUGUUGAAAUCUCUCUUUUGCUGAUGGACCUGUUCCCACUCUCUUCAUCAUUGUGGAUUUAUACCCUUUUUAAUCCCUUUACAAUGAUUUUAGCAGGGUCUCAGGAGGAAGUGGAGAAAAACACAUGAUACCUUCUUCCUGGAGUCCUCCGUCUUCCUGUUCCAAUUUGGACGGAUUGCUCUGUAGGCCUGCGGUGCAGCUGUCAUCCUGGGACGUCCCUUCAUUAUUCUGGGUUGGACCCAAUCUUUCUUGGACCCCAUAUCUUCCUCUUUCUUAGUUUACUCCCUUGUAGUGGACAUUGUAGUUGUUCUGCAGCAUCCAUUCCACUCCUCUCCCGCUGUAUAACAACUAUGCAAUGUGAGUGGGAUUGACCCCACCACCAGCUCUAGGUGUAGGCCUUUAUUGGUAUAAACUGAUCUGAGUAAUUUCACCCUCCUAGCCACAGUGAUGACUGGUUCAGGGAUGACCCAAUCACAAUGAGGCUUAGGACUUUUAUUCAGCUUUUGAGGGAGGAGAUGACCUAUCUUCCCUUGGAUAAGAACAAAGAAGCAUGUAGCCUGGUUGCUGCUGUUAGCCAUCUUGUGAACAUGUGGAAGGCCUACCUGAGGAUGGAGCUGAAAAAUGGAGGAGGCAGAGCCAAGAGAAUCACAGAAAUGGAACCAUAUUCCGGAUCAUGCCAUGCCUGAAAUCUCCCUGCCUGUGGACUCUUCAGUUAAGUGAGCCAAUGAAUUGCAUUUACUAUUCAAGACAGUUUGAGUUGGAUUUUGUAUUGCUUGUCCCUGAAAGCAUUCUAAUUUAUGUUUUUGGUUUUCUCACUCUGGAAAGGGGAUGGGUGCAUGUUUGGUUAUAUGAGGUAUAUUUGCACCGUAUUAGGUGGAAGCUUUUUUUAAAAGCAUAAAUACGGGAGGAAGGCUAUAUGUGGAUGUUGGAUGACCAAAGGAGCGAACUCUACUGUUCUCUAGCAUCUAAUUUCCCAUGCUGUUUUUUGGGGGAAUCCCUGCCAAAUUGGGAGGCAUGGCCCUAUUUCCCACUAUGGAAACUGAUGGUGGUCAGAUAUUUUCUUUCCCAGCCCGCCAGGCAACAAGGGCUGAAUACUCUGUUCAUGGCCUUGAAUCUGGAACCAGCAACAAAAAGAAGGCAGGAAUAUACAAAAUUAACAAAAGGAUGAUAGAUUAGGAGAAUAUAUAAGGAAGAUAGUAAACCCAAUAGGAAAAUGGGCAUAGGAUAUGAAGAGUAAUUUAUAGAAGGGGAAACUUGAGUUUACACAAGGGGAAACUUGAAUAUAUUAAGAGCUUUUUCAACUCUGCCAAUAAUUAGAGAAAUGAAAUUAAAAUAAUAAUGAGAAGUCACUACAGGAAUGGUAACAUGUAGAAAGUCAGAUAUUAUCAAGUGCUGAUGAAUCAGGAUGUGAGGAAAAGGACAACCAUGAGUUGGAAUGUAAACUGGUACAGGUAUUCCAGAGAGAGUUUGGCAGCACCCAUGAAAUUAAGUAUGUGAAUACCCUACAACCCAGUAAUCCCGCUUCUGGGCAUAUAUUCCAGAGAAAUUCUCAUACAGGUCCUAAGAAAAUAUAGUUGAGGUUGUUCAUUGCAGCACUGUUUGUGGUAGUGAGGAAUCAGAAGCAAUCAGGUGUUCAUCACUAUAGGACAGGAUAAACAAACUGUAUAUUCAUACGAUGGAAAACUACAAAACAAAAGUAAUAAACUAGAUUUACAUAUAGCCACAUGGAUAGGUCUCUAAAAUCCCCAGCAUUGAGAGAAAAAAGUAAGAAACAGAAUAGUAUUUAUAGUACAAUUCCAUUUACAGAAAUGUAAAACAACACUAUGUAUUUUCAUGGAUAUGCAUAUAAAUAAACAUAUGGAAGACGGAUUGAAAGUAUACAUACGUUAAUUACACUGGAGAGGCUCACUGAGUUAGGCAGGAGAAUGGGAGUAAGGAUAGGGACUGAUGGGGAAGAAGAAGAAGAUAAAGUAAAAGAAGAACUAAAGUAAAAGAGCAGCCUUCAGUGAACUGGUCAUAAUGUGCCAUAAAUUGCAGAUUAUGAUUAACUAAACUCUGAAGUCCACAACAAAUAAACCAAAACAACAGAUGUGAGGAUGGUUGGAGCUCCCUUGCAGUGGCAUGUGCCAGUAGGAUAAGGUCCACUGGUAGGAGCAGUGCAGGGAGCAGUGCCAACAGCAGCAUUCUAACCAGGCUGUUUUUAUGGUGGACCCUUAGCUGUGGUUCCUGAUGCCUGCCUUCCUCGCUCCCACUCCAUGUUCUCAGCCUGAUUCUCUAGACUUCCGUGAGCUACCUGAUAACUUCAUAAUAAAUCUCUUUUCUAGGCUGGGUGUGAGCGACCACACAUGGCCUAAUUUUUAUUUUUUAUCAAAGGAAUAUAUAUACAUACUUAAAAAAAUAAAACAGUGCUAAGAGAUGCCUAAUAAAAUCCAACAAUAUCCUGUCCUACUCCUUCCCACUGCAAGUCCUGCUCCCUAGAGGCAACUACUUCCAAAUCCCUUGUUCCUUGCCACCUCCCACUCAGAGGCUGAAGAACCAGAUACUUUCUUAGCCUCCCUUGCAGCUAAGGAUGACUACGUGACCUGGCUUUGGCCAGUGAGAUGUUUGCUGCGGGCCUUCUGAAAAAGUAUUUGCUUUUCUGAGCAGAGGCACAAAUAGCUGAUGUUGUCCCCUUCUUUCUUUCUGCUUUGAAUAUAGUCAAGCCGUCUGGAGCUGUGACAGCCAUCUUGUGACCAUGUGGGGAUGAGCACGAGGAAGAAGACAACAUGUGAAGGAAGAAAGUCAGAAAGAGCCCAAUUUCUUGAUGGCAUCAUUGAGCAGCUGAACCCAUGCCACAGUUCCUGUUAACUUAAAAAAAUAAAUAAAGCCAUAUGUGUUUAAGCCACUAUCAGUUGAGUUUUUUGUUACUUGUAGCUGAAAUGAUUUUUAUUUGAUGGACCGCCAUGGUUCCUUGUCAUAUGCUUAUAUCAUUCUUUCUUUCUUUCUUUCGAGACAGAGUCUCGCUGCAAUGCCCAGGCUGGAGUGCAAUGGCACGAUCUCGGCUCACUAAAACCUCCACCUCCCAGGUUCAAGCAUUUCUCCUGCCUCAGCCUCCUGAGCAGCUGGUAUUACAGGCGCCUGCCACCACACCCAG